GCCAGACUCCUACGGGAGGCAGCAGUGGGGGAUAUUGCACAAUGGGGGGAACCCUGAUGCAGCGACGCCGCGUAGGUGAAGGAGCGUUUCGGCGCGUAAAGCCCUCUCGGCAGGGAAGAAGGAGGACGGUACCUGACUAAGAAGCCCCGGCUAACUACGUGCCAGCAGCCGCGGUAAUACGUAGGGGGCAAGCGUUAUCCGGAUUUACUGGGUGUAAAGGGGGCGCAGACGGCAGCGCAAGCCAGGAGUGAAAGCCCGGGGCCCAACCCCGGGACUGCUCUUGGAACUGCGCGGCUGGAGUGCAGGAGGGGCAGGCGGAAUUCCUGGUGUAGCGGUGAAAUGCGUAGAUAUCAGGAGGAACACCGGUGGCGAAGGCGGCCUGCUGGACUGCGACUGACGUUGAGGCCCGAAAGCGUGGGGAGCAAACAGGAUUAGAUACCCUGGUAUAU
rnacentral:rRNA from 1 species